rnacentral:rRNA from 1 species
UACGUAGGGUGCGAGCGUUGCCCGGAUUUAUUGGGCGUAAAGGGCGCGCAGGCGGCCACGCACGUCCGUUGUGAAAUCGCUCGGCUCAACUGGGCGGGUCAGCGGAUACGGCGCGGCUGGAGCAAGCUAGGGGCAAUGGAAUUCCCGGUGUAGUGGUGGAAUGCGUAGAUAUCGGGAGGAACACCAGUGGCGAAGGCGGUUGCCUGGAGCUUUGCUGACGCUGAGGCGCGAAAGCGUGGGAGCGAGUCCGG